UCAGAGUGAUCAUGGCUCAGGAUGAACGCUAGCGGCAGGCCUAACACAUGCAAGUCGAGGGGCAGCACGGUGUAGCAAUACACUGGUGGCGACCGGCGCACGGGUGCGUAACGCGUAUGCAACCUACCCACAACAGGGGGAUAACACUGAGAAAUUGGUACUAAUACCCCAUAACAUCAGGACCGGCAUCGGUUCUGGUUGAAAACUCCGGUGGUUAUGGAUGGGCAUGCGUUGUAUUAGCUGGUUGG
rnacentral:rRNA from 1 species